rnacentral:rRNA from 1 species
UACGGGGGGAGCAAGCGUUGUUCGGAUUUACUGGGCGUAAAGGGCGCGUAGGCGGUCAGCACAAGUCAGUUGUGAAAUCUCCGGGCUUAACUCGGAAAGGUCAACUGAUACUGUGCGACUAGAGUGCAGAAGGGGCAACUGGAAUUCUCGGUGUAGCGGUGAAAUGCGUAGAUAUCGAGAGGAACACCUGCGGCGAAGGCGGGUUGCUGGGCUGGCACUGACGCUGAGGCGCGAAAGCCAGGGGAGCGAACGGG